UACGUAGGGAGCAGGCGUUGUUCGGAUUUACUGGGCGUAAAGGGCGCGUAGGCGGCGCGGUAAGUCACUUGUGAAAUCUCUGAGCUUAACUCAGAACGGCCAAGUGAUACUGCAGUGCUAGAGUGCAGAAGGGGCAAUCGGAAUUCUUGGUGUAGCGGUGAAAUGCGUAGAUAUCAAGAGGAACACCUGAGGUGAAGACGGGUUGCUGGGCUGACACUGACGCUGAGGCGCGAAAGCUGGGGGAGCAAACGGG
rnacentral:rRNA from 1 species